CUUGCUGUCACGCGGCUGCGCGGCUACACUCAAACCUUUCCCGCCACAGGUGCCGCUUCCACACAAUUAACGGAUCACCUUCGGAAGAGCAGCUGCUAAUUAACGGCGGAGCUAAGUGGAGCAGAAGGUUCCCCGCCCGGAAUGUCAUUUCAACAGUCUGCUUGUCGGGUGGAGCCGCCGUUUUAUAAACGCGAAAACAUCGCCUCAAGGCCAGUAAUUUAAACCGCCUAAUUUCCCUACUGCGAAUCGGCCUCUUCACCUCUGCAGCAUCGCCGCCCUGCUUCCAUGGCACUGAGGGAGGUGUCAGAAGAGGUUGCUAAACUAGCUGUGCUGGAUUCACAUUUCGGACGCCUACAGUGGGGGUAUGAAAGUUAACAGAGCUGCACUUACAGCUUAAUAAUUAUGGGGAAGGGAAGAGAAGAGAAACAGAAGCAGAAGCUGUGAAAGAAAUCCUCCCUUACGCCCAGUCUGAUGACUAAGAGUCGGACACCCAGACCAGUAAACUCUGAACUCAGUCACAGAAAGACACCAGUCGACACUGCAUUCUGAAGACCCGACCACUCGGCCUUGUUCAUGGGGUAGAGGCUCAGGUACAAAUUACCUCCACUGCAGACCUUUACUGUGAUGCUGUCAUGCUGCCUUCUGAACUCGACUCCUGUCUUCAAAUAUCAAAUACCAAAGACCAAAUACCCCCCCCCCCCAAAAGACCACUUACAGUCCUUUUGGAUUUUUCCCCAUUUGCAUAUUCUCAAUGUAGACAAAACGAUUCACUUUGAGAGACUGACAUUUAAAAAGAUAAAGCAUGAGAUUUUGCAUUAGUCAUGUUUUAUCUGGCGAGUUAAAUCUGAACAACCAAAGGCCUGCAUUUAAACCCCCCCAAGCCUCACCCCCGCCCCCUGC